rnacentral:rRNA from 1 species
GACGAACGCUGGCGGCGCGCUUAACACAUGCAAGUCGAGCGAUGAAAUCUUGACAGAUUCCUUUGGGGUGAAGAUAAGAUGGAUUAGCGGCGGACGGGUGAGUAACAUGUGAGUAACCUGCCUUAGACAUUGGGAUAGCCUCGGGAAACCGGGAUUAAUACCAAAUGAAAUCAUAGGUGCCCAUGCACUAAUGAUCAAAAGUCCGGUGGUCUAAGAUGGACUCGCGUCCCAUUAGCUAGUUGGUGAGGUAAUGGCCCACCAAGGCGACGAUGGGUAGCCGGGCUGGGAGGCUGACCCGCCACAUUGGAGCUAAGAAACAGUCCAAACUCCUACGGAAGGGAGCAGUGGGGAAUAUUGCACAAUGGAGGGAGCUCUGAUGCAGCGACGCCGCGUAAACGAUGAAGGCUUUCGAGUAGUGAAGUUCUUUUAUAUGGGAAGAUAAUGACGGUACCAUAAGAAAAAGCCCCGGCUAACUACGUG